UUCUACCUUUUCGUUUUCCCUUUUCCCUCUCUUACUUUUCCAUUUUUUCUCUCUCUCUAUAUCUAUGCCUGAAAUUGCAAGUUUAUGAGCUUCCUUUUCUCUCUUAAAGUUGGAUUGGAAAUGUGGUUUGCCUUCGAUGGAGGGCAUCGCUUCCAAGCCAAGUAAAGAAAGCUGAGCUACCAUUACAAUUAACAAAAUUAUAAUCUGUGUUUCCCACUGUUCCAAGAAGAUCCCCCUGCUCAAAUUUCCCCCUUUUUGCUUGAAAAGCUCGAUUCGACCCGUGCAAUGCUUCUCUGAUUUUGCUUCCUUCCAGGAUCCAUUGGAGGUGGUAAUGGCAUCCAGGCAAGGUCCGAAGUCUAAAAAAUUGGGUCCUGUUAGUACCAGGGUUGCCAAAUCGCCAUCAUCUUCUACUACCUCAUCAUCAAAACAGUAUCUGGAAACUUCUAUUGAUGGGCAGAGCUCUCCUGCAUCUUCUUCAGCUCGAAGCAAGCCGCAGUAUUUUUACUCAGAAAAUGUGCACUUAGAUGUGGAAAGAUCCAAAGAAAAUGUUACAGUCACGGUUCGCUUUCGUCCGCUCAGUCCAAGGGAGAUUCGUCAAGGGGAGGAUAUUGCAUGGUAUGCGGAUGGUGAAACAAUUGUGCGGAAUGAGCACAAUCCAACUACAGCAUAUGCUUAUGAUCGAGUUUUUGGUCCUACAACAACUACUCGUCAUGUCUAUGAUAUCGCUGCUCAGCAUGUUGUUAGUGGCGCUAUGGAGGGUGUUAAUGGUACAAUAUUUGCAUAUGGGGUGACGAGCAGUGGGAAGACUCACACCAUGCAUGGUGAUCAGAGGUCGCCAGGAAUAAUACCACUGGCUGUGAAGGAUGCAUUUAGCAUCAUCCAAGAGACUCCAAAUCGGGAGUUUCUUCUUCGAGUGUCAUACCUAGAAAUCUACAAUGAGGUUGUUAAUGAUUUGUUGAAUCCUGCUGGACAAAAUCUAAGAAUCAGAGAGGAUGCGCAGGGAACAUUUGUGGAAGGAAUUAAGGAAGAAGUUGUAUUAUCUCCAGCUCAUGCACUUUCACUUAUUGCAGCGGGAGAAGAACACAGGCAUGUUGGGUCGACAAAUUUCAAUUUGUUAAGCAGCAGAAGCCACACAAUAUUUACGUUGACUAUAGAGAGCAGUUCAUGUGGUGAAAGUGGUGAAGGAGAAGCUGUGAACCUGUCUCAAUUGAACCUCAUCGAUCUGGCAGGUUCUGAGAGCUCAAAAGCUGAAACUACUGGUAUAAGGCGAAAAGAGGGGUCAUAUAUUAAUAAAAGCCUUCUAACUCUUGGAACAGUAAUAUCAAAGCUAACAGAUGGAAAGGCAAAUCAUAUACCAUACCGUGACUCUAAACUUACCAGACUUCUUCAGUCUUCACUUAGCGGUCAUGGGCGCGUGUCUCUUAUAUGCACAGUUACUCCAGCAUCAAGUAGUUCAGAAGAGACGCAUAAUACAUUGAAAUUUGCACAUCGAGCAAAACACAUUGAAAUUCAAGCAGCACAAAAUAAGAUUAUCGACGAGAAAUCACUUAUCAAGAAAUAUCAGAAUGAGAUUCGAUGUUUAAAGGAGGAGUUAGAUCAACUAAAGAGGGGUAUUAUGACUGUUCCUCAACUGAGAGAUUCUGAAGACGACAUUGUACUCCUGAAGCAGAAGUUAGAAGAUGGUCAAUUCAAACUACAGUCAAGAUUGGAACAGGAGGAAGAAGCAAAAGCUGCUUUAUUGGGCAGAAUUCAGCGUCUAACAAAGUUAAUUUUGGUCUCCACAAAGGCAUCUCAAUCUUCACGGUUUCCUCACCGGCCUAGUCUUAGGAGAAGACAUUCUUUUGGGGAGGAGGAACUAGCCUACCUGCCAUACAAGAGGCGGGACCUAAUUUUAGAUGAUGAAAACAUUGACAUGUAUUCUUCCAUUGAGCCCAAUAGUGAAGCCAAUGAGGAUACGGUUAAGGAGGAGAAGAAAACCCGAAAGCACGGCCUACUAAACUGGUUAAAAUUGCGGAAACGAGAUAGUGGCUUGGGAACUUUGACAAACACAAGUGAUAGGUCAAGUGGAAUGAAGUCAACAAGCAUUCCUUCCACACCUCGAGCUGAUCAGAAUAAUGUUCCGACAGAAUCCAGAUUAUCCCAUUCUUUACAAACAGAAAGCUCCCCAUCUGCAGAUCUCUUAUCCGACGCCAGAGAGGAGAAAGAAGCUCCUGAGGAAAAUAUUUUUGAUCCAGAGACACCUUUGACUAGCAUAAAAUCAAGCGAUCAGAUUGACCUCCUAAGGGAACAGCAAAAGAUUUUAUCUGGAGAGGUAGCACUUCAUUCAAGUGCUUUGAAGCGUUUGUCUGAUGAGGUUGCAAGAAACCCCCAGAAAGACCAAAUUCAUUUUGAGAUGAAAAGGUUAAAAGAUGAUAUCAACGCAAAGAAUCAGCAGAUAGCUUUUCUCGAAAAGAAAAUUGCAGAUGCUUCACCAAAUAAAAUGACGGACCUGGAGAUAAUGCAUGAAAUUGAUGAACUGACUGCACAGUUGAAUGAGAAGUCGUUUGAACUUGAGGUUAAAGCUGCAGAUAAUCGGAUCAUUCAGGAGCAGCUAAACCAAAAGAUCUCUGAAUGUGAAGGACUACAUGAAACUGUAGCCUCCUUAAAGCUACAGCUAGCUGAUACACUUGAAUUGCGAAAUACACCGAAAGAUGAAAGAUUAGCACAGGAGGUUGAUGAACUGAAGCAUAAACUGGCUGAACUAACGGAGUCAAAAGAGCAGCUUGAGCUAAGAAACCAGAAACUUGCAGAGGAGAGUUCAUAUGCUAAGGGUCUGGCAUCAGCAGCUGCUGUUGAGCUCAAAGCCUUAUCAGAAGAAGUUGCAAAGCUCAUGAAUGAAAAUGAGAGACUAGCAUCUGAACUUGCUGCAUCCAAGAGCUCCCCUUCGCAGAGAAAAUCUACUAUCGGAAUGCGGAAUGGCCGUAGAGAAGUUAUUUCAAAGCGCACUGACAUUGGUCCGUCUGCUGCAGAACUGAAGAGAGAUCUGGCCAUUAGUAAGGAGAGAGAACUAUCUUAUGAAGCUGCUCUUCUCGAAAAGGAUCAUAGAGAAGCCGAACUUCAUCGAAAGGUUGAGGAAUCAAAGCAGAGAGAAGCUUAUCUAGAAAAUGAACUUGCCAACAUGUGGGUUCUAGUUGCAAAAUUGAAAAAAUCACAUGGAAAUGAAACUGAUGACCACUCCACUGUAGACACGUUGCGGCUUGAUGAUGACAGGUUGAUAUGAAGUAACUGCAAACAUCAUAGGUGAAUGGUCAAGGAUGUUGCUGGUUUGUGUGUAUGUGUGAGAGUGAGAAAGAGAGAGAGAGAGAGUGUGUGUAUGUGUGAGAUGUAAAAAGAAAUGUUCAGCGCCAUCACAUUGGUGUAUUUGUGUAUAACAAGGCAUUGGCUUUCAAAUAUGCUUCAGCCUGUCUGUUGGCUAUGGUUCUGGCGUUGCGUUCAAAGAUUUCUUGUACUGAAGGGGAUGGGAAUCCCAUAAUAAGUUGAAACUAUGGCCCAAAAUUGAUUUUCAGCAUCACAAUUGAGAACAACUCUUUCUAUCUCGAUUUUACUUACUAACAUAAGGGUAUUUUUUAUUUUUUAUUUUUUAUUUUUCAAGUUUAAAAGUUCAUUGAAACUUUUAGAACGUUGGAAUACUUUUAAGCACAAAGUUAAACAAUUCAAGAGUGUUUUCUUCAA